AAAGACACGAGGAUCAAAUCCUGGUCUGAGUCCUGGUCCUGUUCUGUUCUUACAGGUCUGUCCAUGGUUAAUCCAGGUCUUGACAGGUCAGUCCAUGGUUAAUACAGGUCUCUACAGGUCAGUCUGUGGUUAAUCCAGGUCUGUAUAGAUCUGUCCAUGGUUAAUCCAGGUCUUUACAGGUCUGUCCCUGGUUAAUCCAGGUCUUUACAGGUCAGUCCAUGGUUAAUCCAGGUCUGUAUAGAUCAGUCCAUGGUUAAUCCAGGUCUGUAUAGAUCUGUCCAUGAUUAAUCCAGGUCUUUACAGGUCAGUCUAUGGUUAAUCCAGGUCUGUAUAGAUCUGUCCAUGGUUAAUCCAGGUCUGUAUAGGUCUGUCCAUGGUUAAUCCAGGUCUGUAUAGAUCUGUCCAUGGUUAAUCCAGGUCUUUACAGUUCAGUCUAUGGUUAAUCCAGGUCUGUAUAGGUCUGUCCAUGGUUAAUCCAGGUCUGUAUAGAUCUGUCCAUGGUUAAUCCAGGUCUGUAUAGGUCUGUCCAUGGUUAAUCCAGGUCUUUGCAGGUCAGUCUAUGGUUAAUCCAGGUCUUCACAGGUCAGUGUAUGGUUAAUCCAGGUCUGUAUAGAUCUGUCCAUGUUUAAUCCAGGUCUGUAUAGGUCUGUCCAUGGUUAAUCCAGGUCUUUGCAGGUCAGUCUAUGGUUAAUCCAGGUCUGUAUAGAUCUGUCCAUGGUUAAUCUAGGUCUGUAUAGAUCUGUCCCUGGUUAAUCAAGGUCUGUACAGGUCUUUCCAUGGUUAAUCCAGGCCUGUAUAGAUCUGUCCAUGGUUAAUCCAGGUCUUUGCAGGUCAGUCUAUGGUUAAUCCAGGUCUGUAUAGAUCUGUCCAUGGUUAAUCAAGGUCUGUAUAGGUUUUUCCAUGGUUAAUCCAGGCCUGUAUAGAUCUGUCCAUGGUUAAUCCAGGUCUUUACAGGUCAGUCUAUGGUUAAUCCAGGUCUGUAUAGAUCAGUCCAUGGUUAAUCCAGGUCUGUAUAGAUCUGUCCAUGAUUAAUCCAGGUCUUUACAGGUCAGUCUAUGGUUAAUCCAGGUCUGUAUAGGUCUGUCCAUGGUUAAUCCAGGUCUGUACAGGUCUGUCCAUGGUUAAUCCAGGUCUUUGCAGGUCAGUCUAUGGUUAAUCCAGGUCUGUAUAGAUCUGUCCAUGGUUAAUCCAGGUCUGUAUAGGUCUGUCCAUGGUUAAUACAGGUCUUUACAGGUCAGUCUAUGGUUAAUCCAGGUCUGUAUAGAUCUGUCCAUGGUUAAUCCAGGUCUGUACAGGUCUGUCCAUGGUUAAUCCAGGUCUUUGCAGGUCAGUCUAUGGUUAAUCCAGGUCUGUAUAGAUCUGUCCAUGGUUAAUCUAGGUCUGUUCAGGUCAGUCCAUGGUUAAUACAGGUCUGUACAGGUAUGUCCAUGGUUAAUCCAGGUCUGUACAGAUCAGUCUAUGGUUAAUCCAGGUCUGUAUAGAUCUGUCCAUGGUUAAUCCAGGUCUUUACAGGUCAGUCUAUGGUUAAUCCAGGUCUGUAUAGGUCAGUCUAUGGUUAAUCCAGGUCUGUAUAGAUCUGUCCAUGGUUAAUCCAGGUCUGUAUAGGUCUGUCCAUGGUUAAUCCAGGUCUGUAUAGAUCUGUCCAUGGUUAAUCCAGGUCUGUAUAGGUCUGUCCAUGGUUAAUCCAGGUCUUUGCAGGUCAGUCUAUGGUUAAUCCAGGUCUUCACAGGUCAGUGUAUGGUUAAUCCAGGUCUGUAUAGAUCUGUCCAUGUUUAAUCCAGGUCUGUAUAGGUCUGUCCAUGGUUAAUCCAGGUCUUUGCAGGUCAGUCUAUGGUUAAUCCAGGUCUGUAUAGAUCUGUCCAUGGUUAAUCUAGGUCUGUACAGGUCAGUCCAUGGUUAAUACAGGUCUGUACAGGUAUGUCCAUGGUUAAUCCAGGUCUGUACAGAUCAGUCUAUGGUUAAUCCAGGUCUAUAUAGAUCUGUCCAUGGUUAAUCCAGGUCUGUACAGGUCAGUCCAUGGUUAAUCCAGGUCUGUAUAGAUCUGUCCCUGGUUAAUCAAGGUCUGUACAGGUCUUUCCAUGGCUAAUCCAGGCCUGUAUAGAUCUGUCCAUGGUUAAUCCAGGUCUUUGCAGGUCAGUCUAUGGUUAAUCCAGGUCUGUAUAGAUCUGUCCAUGGUUAAUCAAGGUCUGUAUAGGUUUUUCCAUGGUUAAUCCAGGCCUGUAUAGAUCUGUCCAUGGUUAAUCCAGGUCUUUACAGGUCAGUCUAUGGUUAAUCCAGGUCUGUAUAGAUCUGUCCAUGGUUAAUCCAGGUCUUUGCAGGUCAGUCUAUGGUUAAUCCAGGUCUGUAUACAUCUGCCCAGGUCUGUACAGGUCUGUCCAUGGUUAAUCCAGGUCUGUAUAGAUUUGUCCAUGGUUAAUCCAGGUCUGUAUAGGUCUGUCCAUGGUCAAUCCAGGUCUGUACAGGUAUGUCCAUGGUUAAUCCAGGUCUUUACAGGUCAGUCUAUGGUUAAUCCAGGUCUGUAUAGAUCUGUCCAUGGUUAAUCCAGGUCUGUACAGGUCAGUCUAUGGUUAAUCCAGGUCUGUAUAGAUCUGCCCAUGGUUAACCCUAUGGACCCGAACGACGCAUAGUGCGUCCAAAUUCACACCUGUUCUUCUCUAUUGAUUUCCUCCGCGACCGUGCGUCAUAGCAAGAAGCCACGCAUACCAUGUGAAACCGCGGAAUUGUAGCUUUACGACAAGACCAAGCACUUGUUGGUAGUCCAAUGUUUUCAGAGCGAAAAAAAAAAUGAUAAAGUUAAAAUAAAAUGAUGUAUGACAGAGCUUUCAUACAGCUUCGCACACACAAUACUCUUGGAUGGAUUACUCGUGAAUGCAGGCUCGCACCGAAAUGCCACACAUAUCACAUGAAAGCGCAGGAGCAGAGCUUUCAUGUGAUACCACACAUCAUUGUGCAGUCAUCCCAUCAUGCUAUAAAUGCAGAUCAAUUUUCUACAAAAUAAAAACCUGAUGAAUUUCUUUACAAUCCAUUAUACAGAUCUUAUCAGUCAUUUCAUAUAGUGAGGAAUAUCGUAUCUUACUACAUCUUAGGCUUGCGUGUGUUUCUCCCUGUCUAUCCACAUUUGUAGACCGGCUUUCAAGAUGCAAACAUCUCCAUAUUGUCCAGUUGACACUCCAUCAAACUUUGUAUGACAAGACCAGCCACUUCAUCUUUGCGCAGCCAGACAACUGUAGCCUAAUUAUGCAUGCUGACAGGGCCGUAGUCACCAUAUACAUUGAGGGGGACACGUGCCCCCCCCCAUGCCCAAAAUGCCCCCCCAGUAUAUAACUGAAACUGAAAAACGACAACAAACUUUGUUUACUGCAAACAAAGUGGCAAAUAUUAUCUUGGAGGACAUCAUUGCACUUGGUUGACUAUAUUUCUAUGAUCUUAGAUGUAAAUAUUGCAUGUUUCUUUCAGAUAAAACACAUGUUUGACUUGUGAGUCAAUGGAAUUUCUUGCAAUAAUGAAAAAAUACUGGCAAUCAUGUCCGCCUGGCACAAACCACAUGUUUUGGACAGCUGUGAAGUGACAGAAUGUCCCACCAUCAUGGUUCUUAUAUUGCCAGAUUCCAGAGAGUCUCCCCUCUUCAUAUAUGGCAGAAUAUGUCAACUUCCAACUUGCUAUGGUGAGAUACAUGUAAAAAUGUAAGAAUUUAGUCACACGGAUGUUUUUUUCAUUGAUAUAAAAAUUAAUAUAAAAUAUAGCCACAUAGAAGGACAUGAAAUGGCAAAACAACAAUGGCAAACCUGGUUAGCCCAGAUUAUCCUGGAAAAAAAACAAGAUAUAGCAUGUGUAUGUAGCCUUUAUAAUGACUGUGAUAUGAGCUUAAAAGUAAAGGCAGGAAAAAUACCCCAAAAACGCCUAGGGCCCAGAGGGUUAAUCCAGGUCCGUAUAGGUCUGUCCAUGGUCAAUCCAGGUCUGUAUAGACCUGUCCAGGUCUGUAUAGACCUGUCCAUGGUUAAUCCAGGUAUGUACAGGUCUGUCCAUGGUUAAUCCAGGUCUGUAUAGGUCUGCCCAGGUAUGUACAGGUCUGUCCAUGGUUAGUCCAGGUAUGUACAGGUCUUUCCAUGGUUAGUCCAGGUAUGUACAGGUCUUUCCAUGGUUAAUCCAGGUCUGUCCAUGGUUAGUCCAGGUAUGUACAGGUCUGUCCAUGGUUAGUUCAGGUAUGUACAGGUCUUUCCAUGGUUAGUCCAGGUAUGUACAGGUCUUUCCAUGGUUAAUCCAGGUCUGUCCAUGGUUAGUCCAGGUAUGUAAAGGUCUGUUCAUGGUUAAUCCAGGUUAUGUUACAUGGUUCAUCAACAAUA